rnacentral:rRNA from 1 species
GUUUGAUCAUGGCUCAGAUUGAACGCUGGCGGCAUGCCUUACACAUGCAAGUCGAACGGCAGCACGGGAGCAAUCCUGGUGGCAAGUGGCGAACGGGUGAGUAAUAUAUCGGAACGUGCCCAGUCGUGGGGGAUAACGCAGCGAAAGCUGUGCUAAUACCGCAUACGAUCUACGGAUGAAAGCGGGGGAUCGCAAGACCUCGCGCGAUUGGAGCGGCCGAUAUCAGAUUAGCUAGUUGGUGGGGUAAAAGCCCACCAAGGCGACGAUCUGUAGCUGGUCUGAGAGGACGACCAGCCACACUGGAACUGAGACACGGUCCAGACUCCUACGGGAGGCAGCAGUGGGGAAUUUUGGACAAUGGGCGCAAGCCUGAUCCAGCAAUGCCGCGUGCAGGAUGAAGGCCUUCGGGUUGUAAACUGCUUUUGUACGGAGCGAAACGGCUUCCCCUAAUACGGGGAGCUAAUGACGGUACCGUAAGAAUAAGCACCGGCUAACUACGUGCCAGCAGCCGCGGUAAUACGUAGGGUGCGAGCGUUAAUCGGAAUUACUGGGCGUAAAGCGUGCGCAGGCGGUUAUAUAAGACAGAUGUGAAAUCCCCGGGCUCAACCUGGGACCUGCAUUUGUGACUGUAUAGCUAGAGUACGGUAGAGGGGGAUGGAAUUCCGCGUGUAGCAGUGAAAUGCGUAGAUAUGCGGAGGAACACCGAUGGCGAAGGCAAUCCCCUGGACCUGUACUGACGCUCGUGCACGAAAGCGUGGGGAGCAAACAGGAUUAGAUACCCUGGUAGUCCACGCCCUAAACGAUGUCACUGGUUGUUGGGUCUUCACUGACUCAGUAACGAAGCUAACGCGUGAAGUUGACCGCCUGGGGAGUACGGCGCAAGGUUGAAACUCAAAGGAAUUGANGGGACCCGCACAAGCGGUG